GAUGAACGCUAGCUACAGGCUUAACACAUGCAAGUCGAGGGGAAACGACAUCGAAAGCUUGCUUUUGAUGGGCGUCGACCGGCGCACGGGUGAGUAACGCGUAUCCAACCUGCCCACCACUUGGGGAUAACCUUGCGAAAGUAAGUCUAAUACCCAAUGACGUCUCUAGAAGACAUCGGAAAGAGAUUAAAGAUUUAUCGGAGAUGGAUGGGGAUGCGUCUGAUUAGCUUGUUGGCGGGGUAACGGACCACCAAGGCGACGAUCAGUAGGGGUUCUGAGAGGAAGGUCCCCCACAUUGGAACUGAGACACGGUCCAAACUCCUACGGGAGGCAGCAGUGAGGAAUAUUGGUCAAUGGGCGAGAGCCUGAACCAGCCAAGUAGCGUGCAGGAUGACGGCCCUAUGGGUUGUAAACUGCUUUUAUAAGGGAAUAAAGUGAGUCUCGUGAGACUUUUUGCAUGUACCUUAUGAAUAAGGACCGGCUAAUUCCGUGCCAGCCGCCGCCGUAA
rnacentral:rRNA from 1 species